GUUUUAUCCAGAGCUGAUAUAGCUCUAUAAUACGUGAGUUGGCAUUUUUAAACCGUUGUGCCGUGUGUAAUACAUUUUACUACCAUACUGCACUAUUGGUCUUUUCCUCUUUGUGUUUUCCUUUCAUAUGCUGCUAUUGAGCGAAGUGAUUCCACAAGUGCUGUAUGAAUUUUGAAUGGAGGACCAUUAUUUAUAAGACUAUCAUAUU